rnacentral:tRNA from 2 species
GUCGCAUUGGCGCAAUGGUAGCGCGCAAGACUUCUAAGCGGAAUCUUGAGGCUGUGGGUUCGAGCCCCACAUGCGAUG